rnacentral:lncRNA from 1 species
GAUGCUGACUCUCCGCGGCCCCUGCUCUCCAGCCUUCUGGGACUCUCACCAUCCGCUCAGCCUAUACAGCCAUGAGGGCGAAUGGUGAGCUUAGCCAUCCUAAUAUAGCUGAUCGUCACUGAGCACCAGGUGCCUUCCAAAGAUCAUCUUAUGUCAUCCUCACCAGAAACUUGCGAGGACACAGUGACCCCACAACACCCCUGGGCAAACAGGCAGGGAGAAGUGAAGCUACUUGCCCAAGAUCACCCAGCUCAAAAGGGCCAGAGGUGAGCAGGAGGAGAGCCUCCCCUACACUCCACUGCCUUCAAGAGAGAGAGCCAGGGACCAGGACAACUCCCACAGCCAUUCAUCAGCUUCCGCCAUCAGCUUCUAUCGCAGGUGCUGGGCCUCCAAGACAGUGCCUUCCUCCCUGCUGCACUUGCCCUGGGCCUGCAGCUUUGGAGAGAAUCCUGAUGUCUGGGCCCAGCCCUGAGUUCCUCACUUCAUGGUCUGGGGUUCUGUCUGGACAUUGGGCUUUUUUCUGCUUUUUUUGUUGAGGAAGAUUGGCCUUGAGCUAACAUCUGUUGCCAGUCUUCCUCUACUUCUCAUGCAGGAUGCCACCAGAGCAUGGCUUGCGCAGUGUAUAGGUCUGCACCUGGGAUCUGAACCCACAAACCCCGGGUCACCAAAGCAAAGUGUGCAGACUUAACCACUAUGCCACCAUUGGGCAUUGGGCUUUUAAAGCUUCCCAGUUGAUUCUAACAUGCAGCCAGGACUGGCUCCACUGCCCUGGGGGAUCCACAUCCCCUU